rnacentral:rRNA from 1 species
GAUGAACGCUGGCGGCGUGCCUAAUACAUGCAAGUCGAGCGAACAGACGAGGAGCUUGCUCCUCUGACGUUAGCGGCGGACGGGUGAGUAACACGUGGAUAACCUACCUAUCAGACUGGGAUAACUUCGGGAAACCGGAGCUAAUACCGGAUAAUAUAUUGAACCGCAUGGUUCAAUAGUGAAAGACGGUUUUGCUGUCACUUAUAGAUGGAUCCGCGCCGCAUUAGCUAGUUGGUAAGGUAACGGCUUACCAAGGCAACGAUGCGUAGCCGACCUGAGAGGGUGAUCGGCCACACUGGAACUGAGACACGGUCCAGACUCCUACGGGAGGCAGCAGUAGGGAAUCGUCCGCAAUGGGCGAAAGCCUGACGGAGCAACGCCGCGUGAGUGAUGAAGGUCUUCGGAUCGUAAAACUCUGUUAUUAGGGAAGAACAAAUGUGUAAGUAACUAUGCACGUCUUGACGGUACCUAAUCAGAAAGCCACGGCUAACUACGUG